AGUUGUCAACAUGCUUUUAAUUACACCAUGUAAAUCACAACAAUGAUUUCAUUUGGAUUUCAAAUGGAAAAAGAGAGCUGGAAAUCACUCAGCUGGUAAAGGGCUUGCCAUGUAAGCACAGGCCCACGUGGGAUACCCAGUACCCACGGGGUGGGGGUGAACGAAGCAGGCAGCACCAUUAGAGUGAAGGCCUCAGAUGCAGCCAUCAGUUACAGCUGAGAAAGGCGCUCUAACCCCCGCCCCCUCCCUCCCCCCCACCCCCCCCACCCCCCGUUGCUGUGGGAAAGGACCACUGCUGUUCUCACUGCUGAGAACUGAUAGAA
rnacentral:lncRNA from 1 species